rnacentral:tRNA from 3 species
GCGGCUGUAGUUCAUCGGUAGAAUGCGAGCUUCCCAAGCUCGACAGGUGGGUUCGACUCCCAUCAGCCGCUCCA